rnacentral:tRNA from 1 species
UGCCCCUUAGCCAAGCGGUAAGGCAACGGUUUUUGGUAUCGUCAUGCGUUGGUUCGAAUCCAACAGGGGCAGCCA